AGUGAACGCUGACGGCGUGCUUAACGCAUGCAAGUCGAACGAGAACGGGUUAUAGCUUGCUAUAAUUGUCAGCUAAGUGGCGCACGGGUGAGUAAUGUAUAGGUAAUAUGCCUCUUACUAAGGGAUAACAAAUGGAAACGUUUGCUAAUACCUUAUACUCCUUAUUAACAGAAGUUAAUAAGGGAAAGAUUUAUUGGUAAGAGAUUAGCCUGUAUUGUAUCAGUUAGUUGGUGGGGUAAUGGCAUACCAAGACUAUGACACAUAACUGGUUUGAGAGGAUGAUCAGUCACACUGGAACUGAGACACGGUCCAGACUCCUACGGGAGGCAGCAGUGGGGAAUAUUGCACAAUGGACGAAAGUCUGAUGCAGCAACGCCGCGUGGAGGAUGACACAUUUCGGUGCGUAAACUCCUUUUAUAUGAGAAGAUAAUGACGGUAUUAUAUGAAUAAGCACCGGCUAACUCCGUGCCAGCCGCCGCCGUAAAAC
rnacentral:rRNA from 1 species